rnacentral:rRNA from 1 species
AGGGCACCACCAGGAGUGGAGCCUGCGGCUUAAUUUGACUCAACACGGGAAAACUCACCCGGCCCGGACACUGGAAGGAUUGACAGAUUGAGAGCUCUUUCUUGAUUCAGUGGGUGGUGGUGCAUGGCCGUUCUUAGUUGGUGGAGUGAUUUGUCUGGUUAAUUCCGGUAACGAACGAGACUCUAGCCUACUAAAUAGAUCGUCGGCUUACAAACGCCGGCGAGACUUCUUAGAGGGACAGGCGGUGAUUCAACCGCACGAAACAGAGCAAUAACAGGUCUGUGAUGCCCUUAGAUGUCCGGGGCCGCACGCGCGCUACACUGAAGUGAUCAGCGUGCUUUUUCAACCUACUCUGUCAAGAGUGGGGAACCCAAUGAACCUUCUUCGUGAUUGGGAUAGGGGAUUGUAAUUAUUCCCCUUGAACGAGGAAUUCCCAGUAAGCGCGAGUCAUAAGCUCGCGUUGAUUACGUCCCUGCCCUUUGUACACACCGCCCGUCGCUACUACCGAUUGAAUGUUUU